rnacentral:tRNA from 1 species
GGCCUGAUAGCUCAACUGGCAGAGCACUGCACCAGCUUUGCAGAGGUCAGGGUUUUAGACCCGUUCAGGCCU